GAAAAAGAUAAAGACAAGAAGAAAGAUUUUCUUCUACCUCAUCGUGCAGUACUAGAAGUAGUGCCAAAACCUUGGAACAAGUCUUUCUUGUCAGCGUGCAGUUACAUGAAAGAAAAUUUGCAUGCAAUAAAUCCUUUGAUGCUUGCUGUUCUGAACUUGUGGGAGACCUCAUUUAAAAACUUACGCCUUCUUGAUACAGAAAUAUAUCACAAUAAACAAGAAGCUGAGGACCUCUCAUUUUUCCAGAAUAAAGUUGUGAAGGAAAUUGGAAAAUCCAAAGUGAUUCUAUCUAAAAAAAGUAUUUCUUCCUGACCCUGAAGAUGCCUUUCUGCUCAUAACUGAAGGCUGCACACUUCUGUGUUCGCUUCCUUCCUAUUUCCCAGCAAUGCCAGAGUCAAUUUCAUGUUGGUUAAGGGCAGCUGGGCAUUGCAUUCACAUCUUAACAUCUGUUGAGGUUACAAGGAUGCAUAACAAACUGGCACAGCCCCUGGGACUUAAGUGCACUGCCUGGGAAGCCUUUCUGGCCUGAGAAGAGAGGAGUCCAAAGCAAGAUGAUGAGUUUGUCAUAAUGUCUUAUAUUUUAAAUAUGGUUCCAUAAUCAUAGAUAACGUUUUCAGAGACACAAUUCCUUAGAAUUAGAAGAUACCUUAGAAGAUACUACCAUAUGACAUGCUUAAGUUAAACUAUAGUUUCCUAAGUAUACUGCAG
rnacentral:lncRNA from 1 species